UACGGGGGGGGCAAGCGUUGUUCGGAAUUACUGGGCGUAAAGGGCUCGUAGGCGGCCAACUAAGUCAGACGUGAAAUCCCUCGGCUUAACCGGGGAACUGCGUCUGAUACUGGAUGGCUUGAGUUUGGGAGAGGGAUGCGGAAUUCCAGGUGUAGCGGUGAAAUGCGUAGAUAUCUGGAGGAACACCGGUGGCGAAGGCGGCAUCCUGGACCAAUUCUGACGCUGAGGAGCGAAAGCCAGGGGAGCAAAGCGGG
rnacentral:rRNA from 1 species